ACUCCUACGGGAGGCAGCAGUGGGGAAUAUUGCACAAUGGGCGCAAGCCUGAUGCAGCCAUGCCGCGUGUAUGAAGAAGGCCUUCGGUUGUAAAGUACUUUCAGCAGUGAGGAAGGUGGGUAUGUUAAUAGCAUAUUCAUUUGACGUUAGCUGCAGAAGAAGCACCGGCUAACUCCGUGCCAGCAGCCGCGGUAAUACGGAGGGUGCGAGCGUUAAUCGGAAUUACUGGGCGUAAAGCGCAUGCAGGUGGUUUGUUAAGUCAGAUGUGAAAGCCCGGGGCUCAACCUCGGAAUUGCAUUUGAAACUGGCAAACUAGAGUACUGUAGAGGGGGUAGAAUUUCAGGUGUAGCGGUGAAAUGCGUAGAGAUCUGAAGGAAUACCGGUGGCGAAGGCGGCCCCCUGGACAGAUACUGACACUCAGAUGCGAAAGCGUGGGGAGC
rnacentral:rRNA from 1 species